ACAAACUUGGUCAUUUAGAGGAAGUAAAAGUCGUAACAAGGUCUCCGUUGGUGAACCAGCGGAGGGAUCAUUACCGAGUUCUCGCAACUCCCAACCCUGUGAACCAUACCACUGUUUCUGUUCUCGUUGCUUCCUGGCGGGCGGCCCCCCUUCUGGGGCGGCCUGCGCCUGCCAGGGGCGGCCUGCACAAACCUUCUUUUUUUUUUCGUACCCGAACCGUCUGAGCACUGAUUUUACAAAUCAAAUCAAAACUUUCAACAACGGAUCUCUUGGCUCUGGCAUCGAUGAAGAACGCAGC
rnacentral:misc_RNA from 1 species